UCCGCUCCUUGAUUCUCAGUCUCCAAUGGCUGUUUCAUCCGUAAUCAGAAACCCUAAUUCCAGGCUGCUACUCCUCAUCUCCUCUCUGUUAAUCCUGCUGCAGAGGAGCAAUAUCGGGCCCGAAUCCGUUUUAGUCUGCCGGUCGAUUGAACCGUUCACCCGCAACUGUAGAUUCCUGAAGAUCGGUAUAUACUUUGACUACGGCUUCAUCAUUCAUAUUGCCAAUUUGAUCAAGAACCUACUUAUUCUUGGAACCUUAAUUUCUGGGUUGAUGUAUUAUCUCAGUAAUUGUACCAACUGGUUUGCAAUGUCUUCUAUCAAGGGAUGCAAUCGUUGUUGUCCUAUUCUUAGCAUUGACGGUGCCCAUUUAUAUGGUAAAUAUAAUGGCGUAUUGCUUGUUGCAACUGUAGUAGAUGCAGAUGACGGUUUAUUUCCUUUAGCUUUUGCAGUUGUUGAAGUUAAAAGCACAGAAAAUUGGUCAUGGUUUUUUUGCAUACAUUAGUUUGCAUAUUUCUAAUGUGCAAGCGAGGACGAUUACAUUUAUAUCAGAUAAGAUGAAGGGAAUUCCAAGUGCAUUGGAAAGUGGAUUUCAAUCACGGCAUCACCAACGAAAUUGCUUAAGACAUAUUAGGGAUGACUUCAAGAGGAAGCAUUAACAAGUGCAUCUCCAAAAUCUCUUUUGACAAGCUGGAUGUGCAACAGAGAGCUUGGUGUACGAGCAACUACAGGAGGAAAUUAAGUUUAUUUCGCAAGUUGUGCAUGAUUGGAUUGAGACUAGUUUGGGACAAAGAUUUUCUUUGCAAGGAGGGGGGCUAUGGGAGCAGGAAUUGUCUCAUAAGUAAUCAGGUGAAAUUCUCAGCUCCAGUCACAUAUUUUAACACAGCACAUUGGAGGAAUAAAAG